rnacentral:rRNA from 1 species
UACGAAGGGUGCAAGCGUUAUUCGGAAUUACUGGGCGUAAAGCGUGCGUAGGCGGUUGGCUAAGUCAGAUGUGAAAGCCCUGGGCUCAACCUGGGAAUGGCAUUUGAAACUGGCCGGCUAGAGUGUGGUAGAGGAUGGCGGAAUUCCCGGUGUAGCGGUGAAAUGCGUAGAGAUCGGGAGGAACAUCCGUGGCGAAGGCGGCCAUCUGGAUCAACACUGACGCUGAGGCACGAAAGCGUGGGGAGCAAACAGG